rnacentral:rRNA from 2 species
UAGACCGCCUGGGGAGUACGGCCGCAAGGUUAAAACUCAAAUGAAUUGACGGGGGCCCGCACAAGCGGUGGAGCAUGUGGUUUAAUUCGAUGCAACGCGAAGAACCUUACCUGGUCUUGACAUCCACAGAAUUCUGCAGAGAUGCGGAAGUGCCUUCGGGAACUGUGAGACAGGUGCUGCAUGGCUGUCGUCAGCUCGUGUUGUGAAAUGUUGGGUUAAGUCCCGCAACGAGCGCAACCCUUAUCCUUUGUUGCCAGCGAUUAGGUCGGGAACUCAAAGGAGACUGCCAGU